rnacentral:rRNA from 1 species
ACGAACGCUGGCGGCGUGGAUAAGACAUGCAAGUCGAACGAGAGAAUUGCUAGCUUGCUAAUAAUUCUCUAGUGGCGCACGGGUGAGUAACACGUGAGUAACCUGCCCCCGAGAGCGGGAUAGCCCUGGGAAACUGGGAUUAAUACCGCAUAGUAUCGAAAGAUUAAAGCAGCAAUGCGCUUGGGGAUGGGCUCGCGGCCUAUUAGUUAGUUGGUGAGGUAACGGCUCACCAAGGCGAUGACGGGUAGCCGGUCUGAGAGGAUGUCCGGCCACACUGGAACUGAGACACGGUCCAGACACCUACGGGUGGCAGCAGUCGAGAAUCAUUCACAAUGGGGGAAACCCUGAUGGUGCGACGCCGCGUGGGGGAAUGAAGGUCUUCGGAUUGUAAACCCCUGUCAUGUGGGAGCAAAUUAAAAAGAUAGUACCACAAGAGGAAGAGACGGCUAACUCUGUGCCAGCAGCCGCGGUAAUACAGAGGUCUCAAGCGUUGUUCGGAAUCACUGGGCGUAAAGCGUGCGUAGGCUGUUUCGUAAGUCGUGUGUGAAAGGCGCGGGCUCAACCCGCGGACGGCACAUGAUACUGCGAGACUAGAGUAAUGGAGGGGGAACCGGAAUUCUCGGUGUAGCAGUGAAAUGCGUAGAUAUCGAGAGGAACACUCGUGGCGAAGGCGGGUUCCUGGACAUUAACUGACGCUGAGGCACGAAGGCCAGGGGAGCGAAAGGGAUUAGAUACCCCUGUAGUCCUGGCAGUAAACGGUGCACGCUUGGUGUGCGGGGAAUCGACCCCCUGCGUGCCGGAGCUAACGCGUUAAGCGUGCCGCCUGGGGAGUACGGUCGCAAGAUUAAAACUCAAAGAAAUUGACGGGGACCCGCACAAGCGGUGGAGUAUGUGGCUUAAUUCGAUGCAACGCGAAGAACCUUACCUGGGCUUGACAUGUAAUGAACAACAUGUGAAAGCAUGCGACUCUUCGGAGGCGUUACACAGGUGCUGCAUGGCCGUCGUCAGCUCGUGUCGUGAGAUGUUUGGUUAAGUCCAGCAACGAGCGCAACCCCUGUUGCCAGUUACCAGCACGUGAAGGUGGGGACUCUGGCGAGACUGCCCAGAUCAACUGGGAGGAAGGUGGGGACGACGUCAGGUCAGUAUGGCCCUUAUGCCCAGGGCUGCACACGUACUACAAUGCCCAGUACAGAGGGGGCCGAAGCCGCGAGGCGGAGGAAAUCCCAAAAACUGGGCCCAGUUCGGACUGUAGGCUGCAACCCGCCUACACGAAGCCGGAAUCGCUAGUAAUGGCGCAUCAGCUACGGCGCCGUGAAUACGUUCCCGGGUCUUGUACACACCGCCCGUCACAUCAUGGAAGCCGGUCGCACCCGAAGUAUCUGAAGCCAACCGCAAGGAGGCAGGGUCCUAAGGUGAGACUGGUAACUGGGAUG